rnacentral:rRNA from 1 species
GCUAACACCCACGAAUUCAUUACAUCGAUGGACUAACUACAGGGGCAUGCAUGAACUGUACGAGAUACAGAGGACACGGGCUCGCUAGUCCGUAGUACUAUAGUAAUCAACUACUCGGCGUGUCUAACUAAUCGAGGUAUCCUUGAGACCAGGCCUAUCGAAGGCUUGGGGCAAGAACCGCCGCUCUCGUGCUCCUGCUGCUGCUGCCGUGGGUGCUGGGCGAGCCGGCGGGGACUUGGGCGUCGUCGGCAUCGGAGUCCUCCUCCUCGGUGAUUGGGUCGAGGCAGCCCGUGGCCGCGCGACGGAGGCGCAGCCGCUGCAGCCGCAUGACGUGGAAGGCUUCCGGCGGGGCCGCCUCGUCGGCAGCGAAGUGGACGACUGCGUAGGUUCUCGCGGCGGAGGCCAUGGAUCAGCGACGGGUGGCGUCUCUAGCUUGCUAAGCUUGGAUCGGGCGCCUGAUUGCUUGCCGUGCUUGUGGACUGUGGCGAUGCGAGGGAGACGCAGGCAGCUUGGUUCGUUUAUAUAAAGCCGGCGAUGGAGCGGUGGAGCACGCGACCGGCCGGCCACUGGCCGCCCGCGU